UUCAAACAAUUACAUAUUCCUUUCUCUAGGACUCACCUUCUAAUGGUCCAGUAAUUCACACUGAUGCCUCACUCACUCAGAUGGGCAACUAGACUCUAGCAAAUGGGACUUUGGGAAAAUUUAAUUGUGAAAUGAUAACAGCAAAUGAUGAAAUUGUUUCUUUAUGCCUGGAAAAUCUUCUCAAUUCAGGAGACUUGCUUGAAGAAUCAAGAUUCGGCCUUCUUCUGAGAGCAAGGACAAACAUUGUUAUAUAUUUGUUUUCUAAAGUCCAAAUACUCUUUCUAUAAAGAAA